UCCUUUAUAUGAAUCCCCACGCCGCCACCUCCCCUGUCCCAGUAAACAGCGUUCUUCUUCCCUCUUCCUCCUCCCGCAGAUCUCCGAUCUCGACCUGUCUUCCUUGUUUCCGAACCUCUUUUCCGUUCGUUCUUCCCGGGGGGUUUGAGGACGGUGAGGACGUCACCGCGGACGCACCUCCCAGUUCGUCGCUGUUCUUGUCUUCUCUCGAUUUGAUUGACCCUCUGUGUUUUCUGUUUCUCGAUUCGAAUGUUUUUCGUUGUACGGUUUCUGCAAGAUCAGCUUCUUGUCUGGGCCUCGUUACCCAGGACCCCAGCCAAUCGGCAAAUCGUGCUGCCAUCUUGCUAGAUCGAACCCCCAAUCCGGCUUUCAACUCGCCCGGAUCUGAUUGAUUACUCGAUGAUUCUCCGGGCCCUUUCCGUCGGCACAGAACGAAAAUUUCUUUGAGAUUUGUCACUUUUUUGUUUUUGUUUUUGUACUUCUGGAGUAUAAAAGCAAACUCACUCUGUCCCAAAGCCAUUCCGUGUUUUGAGGCAGUUUCUUCGUCUGCGAGAUGGAUGUAACCCAAGUAUCUCGUCCGCGAGUCCUUCUCAAACCAGUAGUUUUGCUUUGUUGUUAUAGAAAAUGAAGAGAGUUGGUUUUGCUUGGCUGGUGAUGAUUCAGGUCCGAAUGGAUCUGAGCGGAUUUCGGUGAGGCGGAUUCGUCCGCCGUUGAUCGAUUCAUGUUGUUACACACACUGAAGCCUUUUUCUUUCUUUCUUGUUUCGAUUAUCCUUUUCGUUCUUGCGAUGCGAUGAUGAUUCAUAUAGGUUUUGGCAGUGGUGGCUUCUGUCACCGUGAGCCUUCAAACCAAAAACGACUUCUCUUUCCACUGAGCAUUGCUUUAACCACAUUCUUCUCCUGGUCUGUUUUGUUUGUUUAUCGGCGGCCAAGGAUUAAACUGAAUUAUAGACAAGCAUAUGUCCGAAUUCUCUUCAUGUGGAACGAUCUAAUCUUCUCUAUGAGGCCAGCGAUCUUGCUUCUUUCUUGAUCUGCAGUUUUAUUAGAUGCGUUCUGUGGUUGAUGCCGAUGAUGAUUAGUGUGAACCUUUCUCAAUGAAAUCGCUAAUGAUUACAUAACCUACUGCCUUCCUUCUGAGGCGCCACGAAUCCUCGAUUCCUUAUGUCCUUUUCUAUCAUCACUAUGUUUUGGUUGUCUCUUGAAUUAUUGGUUUGCCAAGGUCGAAUGAUGAUCACAAGUGCAUAGUUCAUAUGAUCAAAUCGUGAUUACUUGAACAAAAAUAGUCUUUCGCUCCUAUCUGACGACCCUACAACCUGCCCUUUCUCAGGAGAAUCAAACAAUUUGUGUGUUUAUGUUUUGCAACCUCAUGUCUGAAUUUGUUGUAGAGGACGGUGAAGAUUGGUAUUUGCGCUGCCGACCAUCCUGCUAUAUCACCACCCGUAUUCUGAGUACCAUAUUGUUUGUUACAUGUUACAUGUGGAAAGCAUAAUUUGUUUUUGUACUAGUAUAACUUGUCUGAGGUAGGCUGACCAUCACAAGUGCAUAGCCACAGAUGACCAAACUGUGAUUGCAUACUGUAGCUUUCCUGUUUAAAUUCAGUUCAAAUUUCAUAUGAGAAACCAUACCUACCCAGUAAAGCUAUUUGGAUAUGAGGAAUAAUUUUGGAGAAUGUUUUACUUGUAUUUGGAGCAGUGACGAGACAUUCACUCAAUAUCAUCUUUCAGGUUUGAUUAAUCGCUAUGUUCUUACCUAGCUUCAUAUAAUAUGUUCAGAACUUUAAUGUUAAUGCUAGUGACCUCUACAAAGCCAUUCUACUACACAUUAGGCAGUUAAUGAACUUAUUGGGAUGACACAUCUCAAGAAAAAGAAUUUUUUUGGAAUAAUACAGAAAUGACAGAAUUAAGAGUAAUAGAUGGAAUUUCAUAUUUUCGGGAUCUUUGAUUAGGCGGCACUUGCAUAGUUAGUUGUUUUUGAAUUGGUAGACCAUCUACAAUAGGUACUUUGAUGUUUGCAAUGAUUCUUUAGGCCAGUUUUUGAGGAUGAUGAUUUCAUAUUUGUUGCCCCAGUCUUAGGAUCCGCCUAGGUGGAUCUCUGCUGAUUGACAUAUUUUUGAAUCUGACUCGGCAGAUGAAAAUUUUGAACUGUUGGUUUGGUUUUCUUUUCUACUUAUUUUUCCUGGGUGAUGGCAGUGACGAUUUGCAAAAUUCAAGCUCAACAGACCAAAUCACAGGUUUUCUCUCAGGAGUUGAUUUGUAUGCCGAUUAACCUUCUGAACCGAGCCAUCUGACACUGAGUUUUUAAAACUGAAGUUCAUUGUUCUUAUCUUUGGAUCCUUCACUUCCAUGCUGCGUUUUGUGUUUAUUUAUUUUAGCUUGUAUUGGAGGACGUAGUUGCAAUGAGGAUAACAAGCUCCCUCUUCUGAAAGCAUUGACGACAUCGCUGGCAGAAUCGAACCAAUUAAAUAUUGCCACCACUGAGCAACUCUGUAUCUUUGUACAAUCUUUGUUGCUUCUUCUUACAUCUACAAGAUCUGUUUGGAUCGUGAGGAAGUAUUGAUGCAUAAUCCAACACUUGAUCCGAGGGCAGCUUGCGCAGCCCAUAUGAUGUCAUCUUUGCAACUGAAUCCAUCAGAUUUCAGUGUUAUUUUUUCUGAAACUUUGAAACAAUCUUAGGACACCUUCGGACACAGUGCUUAAUUUUCUGUGAAUCAGAAGUCUUCUGUAUUCUGAUGAUACAUCUUGUUUUCAUCAUUUUUUACAAUCUUGUCUUCCAAGUUGGAUCUAUAAUGCAAUUGAAGCCCAUGAUGAUUAGCUUUAUGUUGGAAUUACCGUCAGAUACUGAAUGAUGAUAUUUUUGCGGCUUUCUGAGGCAUAAAACCAUUAGCUUCAGGUCUUCUGUAGUUUUUGCAUUGUUAAUUUCGUUCAACUUAAAUUAUCCCUGUGAAGUUUCUCAGACCAUAGGAAGUGUCAUAUGACACUGUAAACAACAGUUGCUUCUCUCCACUGCAAGUGUCCUCCCUCGAGCAUAGCCUUUGUGGUUUUCUUUCCGUGUUAAUUUUGUUUUCUUUCGGCGAAGAUCCCAGCAGAGAGGUGUUGAAUCUCCCUCGUUGAGGCCUCUCUAACAAAUUUUUAAUCUUCGCACGGUGACGAGAUGCCGUGGAUUUUGUGGAUGUGUGAUAUUCCUGGUUCUGUCACAUCUGUUGCUAUGGAUACAUCUUUAUCAUACUAUGGUAUCUAACCUUCUGUUUUCCAUCCGAGGGACCUAUGGAUGGACAGCCCUUCCCGUGCUGUGUCUACCAAGUUUGCCUUCGGACACUAUAAAGCAAUUUGUUCUUCAAUCAUCUUGCUUCAAACUCUUUAUUUUUUGUGAGGUUGAAACUUUUGCUGACAUUUGAUUUAUGUAUAGCCAAUGAAUUUUUGUUUCUAAUUUUCAGUCUUGCAAAUCAGACCCAACGAGUGACGAUUCAGGCAGCCCUUUUGUCCAUUACAAUGGCAAUGGAGGUGUUGCGUUGCUCGGAGAUUAAAUUUCUGCUCUUCAGAUUAGCUGAGUGGGAGGCUCUGCUUCCCUCGUUGAAGCUUGUCUAGUAGUCUUAAGAACAUCUAAUAGCCCUCGUUACAAACUUUGUCGAACAUUGUAGUUCUGUGACGAGCGAUGAUUCAGGCAGCCUCUUUAUCAUUACAGUGGCAUUGGAGGUGUUGCGUUGCUCGGAUAGUAAACCUAUUGCUCUUCAGAUUAGCUGAGGGGGAGGCUCCUGCUUCCCUCCCUGAAGCUGGUCUAGUAGUCUUAAGAACAUUAUUAUAAGUAUGUUUCUCAUACCCGAUUUUAAUUUUGACCUUUUUUGUUUGUGAAAUGGUAAUUCAAUAAUUGGUUGGUGAUCCAUGAAAACAAAUGAUGAUAGCAAGAUAGGGACAUCAGAACCCUGAAUUUCAGGGUUAUUACAGAUUACGUCUAUAAUGGGAAUCUCUCUGAUGUUUUCGAUUCCCCAAGUUAAAUUGAUCUGUUUUUUCCUUUUCAAUCAGUCUUCUUUGGAAUAUGCUCUUGCAAUUCAGAUCUUGGAUGGCAAUGCUCAGCCCAUGGUCGGCCUCAUCGUGCAUACAGCUAGAUAGAUCCAACGAUAUAUAAAGCAGUUACACAAUUGGCAACUGAAGCUUAAUAACAUUUACAUGAAAGUGAACAGAGAUUUUUUAUCUAAAAACAAUGAACAUACUGACCUGGAUGUACUUUUAUUCAUAGGAUAGGAAAAAUGGUAAACUGUUAAUGAACAUGAAACUAACCCAAAGGCUUGCAGAUGGGCCCCUACAAUGGCAAUGCUCAAGUUGAUAUUCUUUUGGUUGAUCAGAGUUUGGUCAGUUCAAUAUGCGAAACGAAUCACAUUAGCAUACAGCUAAAAUUGAUCCACAGAUGACAUCUGUUUACAUCAUUUGAAUCUUAGCAAACUUGUGGAAUUUUAAAUGUCGGCCUUGUCUGAAAAAAUACCAAUCUGUUGAUGCAUCCGUGCAAAUGUUCCGAGGGACAAUUUCCUUUUGAGAUUUUGAUUUAAUGCUUAAAGCUGUCCGAUGAUGAUCAAACUAAAGACUUUCGUUCUUCUGAUGUGCUAUCUCAUGGCGCUGUGCGGAAGCAAUUUGGAGACCUGAACUGAGGAAAUGCUUGAUUUGUUCUUGCCACUGCAAGUUUUGCUAUUUUUUUCAUGUUUUUUCUGCUUGUAGUUUGUGAUGGAAAAUUGUUUUUGUGUUUGUUGCUUCACAACUGGAAGGAUGGCCUGUUGAUAACAGUUUGGUCAUCCCGUAGAGGGAAGCAUAGAUGAAUGGAAACACCGGCCAGUAUUAAACAGCAUGACGCUCUGUCAAACCGUGUCAUGUUACCUGUCUUCUGGCACAUUUCUAACAUAGUACAUAUUUUUAUUUCUCAGAGAUUUUAGUUCCUGAGUCUGUAGCUCGUUAAUUUGGCGGAAGAAAGCCAGCAUUGCACGUGCUUUGGAGGAUUAAACUUGCAGAAAGCUCAGUCAGUUUUGUUCGGUGAUGAUCAAACUAAAUACUUUUGUUCUUCUGAAGUUCUAAUGCGCUAUCUCAUAGCUCGGUGUGGAAGAACACCUUUGUUUAUCAACCGCAUUAUGCCUACCACAGAGCAUCAUUGCCAAAACAAACGGAUGAACAUAUUAUGCAUUCUGAUUGACAAAGCAAUUUACAUGAUUUUAGCAGAGUCCACUGUACUUGAUCUUUGAGUGACCAAACAACUGACAAAUCUUUGUUGAGAAAACCCUUAUCUUGAGAAACCACUGAAUUUGUUUCUGUAGUCGUUGUGGGCUGGGGCCUUGAUUAUUUUUGCAAUGAUGAUACUAUUACCCAGCUCAUUAUGAGACUUCCCUUUGUGGGCAGUCGUGAUAUGAACAUCUCUUUUGUAUCUGAGCCCACUCACAUUUUUCUUAUGAUUUCUUCAUUAUAAUUUGGUACAGCCAAUGAAGGCUCUUCUAGUUUUUGGGAAAAUAGACACAGCUAGACUGUAACUGCUGCAGUGAUGAUAUAAUCCUUGUCUCCCUUUUCUAACAUCCUCCGUUGUAAUAACUGAAUGAGCAAUGAUGCAGGCAGCCUCUUUGUCUGAUUACAUUGGCAAUGGAGGUGUUGUGUUGCUUAAUUUGAUGAUCUUUUGGUUGCUCAUUGUUUGGUCAGAUCAAUAUGCGAAGCAAAUCAGCUUCAACAUUAAGCAUACAGCAAGAUUGAUCCAAAGACGAAAUCUGUUUACGUCAUUUGAAAGCUUAGCAAAACUUGAAUUUUAAAUGUCGACCUUUUCUGAAAAAAAUACCAAUCUGUUGAUGCAUCCGUGCAAAUGUUCUGAGGGACAAUUUCCUUUUGAGAUUUUGAUUUAAUGCUUAAAGCUGUCCAAUGAUGAUCAAACUAAAUACUUUCGUUCUUCUGAUGUGCCAUCUCAUGGCGCUGUGCGGAAGCAAUUUGGAGACCUGAACUGAGGAAAUGCUUGAUUUGUUCUUGCCACUGCAAGUUUUGCUAUUUUUUUCAUGCUUCUGAUCUUCAGAUUAGCUGAGGGGCUUUGCUUCCCUCUGAUCCUCGUCUUAAGAACAUUUUCUAUCUGUUUCGAACUUAAUUUGGUUUCUUUUACAGUUUCUUAAGGAUGAUCUACUUGUUCCUUACAAAUUUGGUUUCCUUUGUGUUUUGGUUGCGGGUUGCCUACCCAAGGGACCUAUGGAUGGAGAGCCCUGCCCGUGCGAAUGUCUCUGAUUUCAGUGGAAUGGAGGUGUUGUGUUGAUUAGAGAUUAAAUCUUCUGCUCUUCAUAUUAGCUGAGGGGCAGGCUCUGGCUUCCCCCUUUGAAGCUUGCCUAGUAGUCUUAAGAACAUUAUCUAUCUGUUUCAAUUCAAUUUGCUAUUCUUUUGUUUGACGUUUUUGACAUAUCAAUCAGUGCUUGGUCAGUUGAGUACGUGAAAUGAGUCACAAUUUUGCUGGUUCUUUUGCAUCUUCUUUUGUGAAAAUUCACCUAGAAAACUUGAUGGAGCUAUCAGUGAUUCAGGCAGCCCUUUUUUCUGAUUACAAUGGCAAUGGAGGUGUUGCAUUGCUCGGAGAGUGAAUCUUCUGCUCUUCAGAUUAGCCGAGAAUUAAAGAACCACAUGAUUUGGUUUCUCUAUGCUUUGCUGGCAGUAAAUUUCUUGUUUGGGGAUCAAUUGAAGCAAAUGAUGAUAGCAAGACAGGGACAUCAGAACCCUGAAUUUCAGGUUAAUGACAGACUACGUCUAUAAUGGGAAUCUCUCUGAUGUUUCUGAUUUUCCCCAAGAUAAAUUGAUCUGUUUUUAUGUCUAUUCUUUUUUCAUAUUUUCUCCUUCUCAUUCUUCUUCGGAAUCCAGAUCUCUUUCCUGUUUUAACUUUUGGCUAUUUGGAUCUUGAAUGCGAAUACUUCAAGCAGAUCAUGGUCAGAAGAUUGUUACACCAUUGGCAACUGAAGCUUAACAACACAUGAAUAUGAUCCGAUAUUUUGUAUUUGAAAGACAGUGAACAUGAUCUUUAGCUGACUCAAGGCUACUUUUAUUCAUAGGAAUAGGAAAGAUGGCGGAUUGCCAUACCAUGCCCAUUUGAAUCCUUUGGAUGCAAAACAAAGGAAUUGAUCCAAGUGUUUGUUUGAUGGAAGCAUAGGAAUUUUUCACACAUCUUUCCAAGAGCUUGCAACUAUAAAAAUCAUAUAAAAAUACUAUGAAUCACACAAGGCCUUAUAAACAGGACAUUUGACUGAACAUGAUUAGACGUUUUGACUGAAAAAACAACCUCAUGAUCUUAAACUGACUUGAAAUGAACUGAACAAUUGAAAGCAAAUGCAUCAUAGUGGCACAGCUAUUUAUUUAUUUUCAUAUAUUUAUAAUUGUUCAUUACAAACCAUGAAUAAAUCCUCUUCUCUUCAGAUGACAUAAUUUUGAUUUCUUGAUGUUUUGUUAAGUAAAAAUUCAAUUCUGGUGGUGUUUCACUUCUUUUAGUUUCUGUUCUGUGAUUGCGUUCGGUCUGGGCUGGAAUCUCCAUUUGCAGCUGGUUUGGUUCAGCUGUGUGCAUUAUUUUAAGCGGGUCUCCUAUUGAUUCUCUUUAAUGUUGUUAGCAUUGUAUUUGGCCGGUCCAGAGUGCCUGUUAUUGGAUGAAUGAGUAGUUAAUCAGUUGUGAUCAAUAUGAUUUGAUUAUUUGGGGAUGUGUUAUGGCAGUGAUGAUAAAUUAAAGGCUUGUUUCUCAAAACAUUCGCAGUUGCCGCCUAAGAGCUUUCGCCCUGCCAGGCUUGAGAGCUAAUGCUGCUAAUUCCUUCCUUGGAUGUCUGAGCCUUAUGAAAUCCCCAAUUUAUCUUUAUUUCUAUCUUACUUUGUUGUCUUCAUUUCCUGAUCUAAUUAUUCCGCCUUCUCCUUUUUGAUGUUUAUCUUGUUAAAUGUUGUUGUGUUUUGUUGGUUCACUCGGGGAGCACUGACCCAUGUCCGCCCACCGUUUACAACGCUCCCAAGAGGUAUUCUGGUGGCGCCUAGAGCACAAGAUCUUGGGUUACGCUCGCCCCCAAAUUCCAGUUUAAUCUCUACUGUUCUAUCUUUUUUUUCAUGGAUUAUAAUUCUAGUUAUUGUAGGAUUGAUUAAACCUUUGUUGGUGCAGUGAUUAUAAAACAUUCCUCGUACUGAUGGGAAAUCCCCGUGAACGACAACUAUAGACCCAUAGAAUCUGAGCACCAGCAAACAAUAUUUCCUCUGGUUUCAUUUGAUUCUUAAUUUUGUUUUCUGUUUAUUUCCCCUGACUUUCUUUUCGUUUGGACUUGAGACCAAACGUUUAUCUGUAUCUGUUGACUUGAGGUGUGGUAAAUUCUCUAUUCGUAUUGCUGGUGGUUGCGAUUUGCAGUGAUUAUAAAAUGUUCAGAUACAAACUGUGACUGAUGGGAGCCGCUAGUCAUCAGUUCAGAUACAAACUGUGACUGAUGGGAGCCGCUAGUCAUCAGUUCAGAUACAGACUUUGGAGUGGAGCACUAAAGUCCAGCCAUGGGAGCCGCUAGUCAUCAGUUCAGAUACAGACUUUGGAGUGGAGCACUAAAGUCCAGCCAUGUCUUGCUAGUUCGUGGGCCACCGUAUUACAAGACCUUGGACAGUAGUCAGUGAACUAUGCAGCUCCUUUUCAGUUAGAGCAGUUGCAAUGCAUCGGGUUCUAUUAAGCAGUCGAGUCAAGCACUGUCUUCAUGAAAUGUAAUUUAUACUGUUGAAAUAGACGGUUUCAGUAGGGCUCACUUAUUUUCUUUUUUAAAUGUAGCCUUAUAGCUUCUAAAAGAUUUUGCAAUUGCUUGUCGUUAGUGAAUCAUUGUGAAGCUUGUUUAGUGAUCAUCCUGAUGAUCAAUGCUUAUAAAUGUAUCACUACUUA